rnacentral:rRNA from 1 species
AGCGAACGCUGGCGGCAGGCCUAAUACAUGCAAGUCGAGCGGUAGAGAGGUGCUUGCAUCUCUUUGAGAGCGGCGGACGGGUGAGUAAUGCCUAGGAAUCUGCCUAGUGGUGGGGGGAUAACGUUCGGAAACGGACGCUAAUACCGCAUACGUCCUACGGGAGAAAGCGGGGGAUCUUCGGACCUCGCGCCAUUAGAUGAGCCUAGGUCGGAUUAGCUAGUUGGUGAGGUAAUGGCUCACCAAGGCGACGAUCCGUAACUGGUCUGAGAGGAUGAUCAGUCACACUGGAACUGAGACACGGUCCAGACUCCUACGGGAGGCAGCAGUGGGAAUUUUGGACAAUGGGCGCAAGCCUGAUCCAGCAAUGCCGCGUGCAGGAUGAAGGCCUU